CCCUUAGAUGUUCUGGGCUGCACGCGCGCCACACUGAAGCUAUCAACACGUUUUCCCUCCCUGAGAAGGGCGGGUAACCUUUUGAAUCAGCUUCGUGGUAGGGAUCGGGGCUUGCAAUUGUUCCCCGUGAACCAGGAAUUCCUAGUAGACGCGAGUCAUAAGCUCGCAUCGAUUAAGUCCCUGCCCUUUGUACACACCGCCCGUCGCUACUACCGAUUGAACGUUUUAGUGAGGCAUUUGGACCGACGCAUCUCAGUUUAACCGCUGGUUUGUGUUGGAAAGACUUCCAAACUUGAGCGUUUAGAGGAAGUAAAAGUCGUAACA
rnacentral:rRNA from 1 species